rnacentral:rRNA from 1 species
UGGGGAAUAUUGCACAAUGGGCGCAAGCCUGAUGCAGCCAUGCCGCGUGUAUGAAGAAGGCCUUCGGGUUGUAAAGUACUUUCAGCGGGGAGGAAGGUGUUGAGGUUAAUAACCUCAGCAAUUGACGUUACCCGCAGAAGAAGCACCGGCUAACUCCGUGCCAGCAGCCGCGGUAAUACGGAGGGUGCAAGCGUUAAUCGGAAUUACUGGGCGUAAGCGCACGCAGGCGGUCUGUCAAGUCGGAUGUGAAAUCCCCGGGCUCAACCUGGGAACUGCAUUCGAAACUGGCAGGCUAGAGUCUUGUAGAGGGGGGUAGAAUUCCAGGUGUAGCGGUGAAAUGCGUAGAGAUCUGGAGGAAUACCGGUGGCGAAGGCGGCCCCCUGGACAAAGACUGACGCUCAGGUGCGAAAGCGUGGGGAGCAAACA